GUAGGUGGCAAGCGUUGUCCGGAAUUAUUGGGCGUAAAGCGCGCGCAGGCGGUCCUUUAAGUCUGAUGCGAAAGCCCACGGCUCAACCGUGGAGGGUCAUUGGAAACUGGGGGACUUGAGUACAGAAGAGGAAAGCGGAAUUCCAAGUGUAGCGGUGAAAUGCGUAGAGAUUUGGAGGAACACCAGUGGCGAAGGCGGCUUUCUGGUCUGUAACUGACGCUGAGGCGCGAAAGCGUGGGGAGCAAACAGGAUUAGAUACCCUGGUAGUCCACGCCGUAAACGAUGAGUGCUAAGUGUUAGGGGGUUUCCCGCCCCCCUUAGUGCUGCAGCUAACGCAUUAAGCACUCCGCCUGGGGGAGUACGGCCGCAAGGCUG
rnacentral:rRNA from 1 species